AGUAUACUAAGGACCUGGAGGCAAUCUUGCCAGACUUCCUCUGCAGGCAUCUUUAAUUUUCUUGUAUCAUAAAUUUUUAUCUUACAUUCUAUACAAGGGGGAAUCACUGAGCUGAUGAGUGAGCCUAACCAUUUGCCCGACACCAUUGCAGAAACUGGUUAUUUUACCAAGGCUUUGACUGGAAUAGUGUGCUUCCCUUUAAGGAAUCAAACUUGACUUUUGGAGCUAAUAAAAGCCCCUUGGGAAAACUGCUCUCUUACCUUGUCUACACAGUCUCUGGACAGAGUUCCUGACCUGUGUAUCCAGAAUGAGUGAUCCUUGAAAAUCUCAAAUUGGAUCAUGUCCUUCAGCUACUUAAAACCUGUCAAUGAUGACCAGUUGUACUUCAAGUAAAAUCCAAAUCCUCUCAAGGUACCAAGGGGAGAAGGAAGAAACAAUACAAGAAUUGGCCCCAGGAAAUAUUUAUUCUAAAUCCGGCACAUGCAAAACCCCGAGAUAGCCAUCAAGGACAAAAAUCGUCACUGGGAGGUGGGAAGCCCUGAAGGAAAAGCACUAGUCUUGGUGUCAGAAGACCUAUGCUUGUGUUUUCACGCUGACAGGACAUGUGUAUCUCAACAAGUAUCUUCAUCUUCUGAACCUAUUUCCUCAUCUAUAAAAGGUCACUAACACCCAUUUUGAAAAACCACAUGUAGGUUAGGAGGAUUCAAUGUAUGUGAAAGAGUUCUUCAAACUCCUAAGCACUUGCUGUGCUGAUGGUAAAGGUGAUAAUGAGGAGGAAGGAGUGUCUGCUAUGGGAAAACCACUGUCCUAAAACUUUUAAAUACAUUGUUAAUUAAUCUGCACCAAUAAGUCUACGAAUUAGAUUCUAUCAUAAUCUCAAUUUUACAGAUGAGGUUCAGAGAGAUGACAAAUUUUCCCCAAUAUCACACAGUCAUUUUAAUGGUGGAACAGAAAUUUUAACCCAAAUCUAUCUGGCUCCAUAGUUAACACUCUUAACUACCAUAUUAUAUGGCCCCAAUCUAACUCCCUUAUCUUUGGGAAAUACUUUUAUUUAUAGGUCAAUGACACAGAGUUACAGAUCCUGGGUACAGCCUGGGUCUGUAACUUACUCAAUGUAUAAUGCUGGGUAAGUCUUAACCUCUCUGUGCCUCAUCUGUUAAAUGAAAGAGUUGAACUCUAGGAUCUCUCAAGUUCAUUCCCUUUGAGUUCAUCUAACAUUAUACGGUCUUCGUUCUUGUUGGUACAAUAGUUUAUUAGGUAAUUGUUUAUUAGAUAAUUAACAGUCCAUGUCACCUUGGCUAUCUGCCAAAUGAAUAGAAGCACACUACAGAUAUUAGAGAGGGAGGGUUGAAGGGAAAAGAUUUCCAAGGGCUUUGGCAGGUGGAGAAGGCUUUUUGGAGAGGAUAGGCCUGAACCGUUUCACCAUUAAAAGCACUUUUAUUAUUUUUCUCCAUAGUCACUAUAUUUACAAAGAUUUUAUGUUUACUUAACAUUGUGUCAUGGUCUGGCAAAAGAGAGCAUCUGCAGCCCCUCCAGGAAAGAAGAGAAAUCCUGUAAUCCCUAGAGAGAGUCAGGCAGGAGGACAAAAUUAGUGGCUGCAUGCUUACUGCAGACCAGCACGGUAUGAGAACAGUAUUUUGUCAUCAGCUGUGAGUCAGCUAAAAGUUGAAGCCAAAUGUUCAAGCAUUGUUAGGAGUUGAGUCUUUUCUUUGAUGAAGCAUAUGGGAGCCUCAUUCAUCCACACUUUCCUUGCCUCCACAUCCUUGCCAUUAUGGGAAUGGCAUAUAAGCCAGUGAUGCUCAACCAGAAGUGACUUUGUCCCUUAUGAACUAUAGGCGAUAUCCGAAGACAGACUAAAUGCCAUGACUUGGCUGGGGAGGAAGUGGGAGCUUGUUCCUGAUAUCUAGUGGAUAGAGGCCAACAAUACUUAGGGCAGGCUCCCCACCCUCCAUCCCCAGCAACAGAGAAGUAUCUGGUCCAAAAUUUCAAUAGUGCUGAGGCUGAAAAACUCUGAUACAAGGGAACAGCAGUUAC
rnacentral:lncRNA from 1 species